rnacentral:rRNA from 1 species
GACGAACGCUGGCGGCGUGCUUAACACAUGCAAGUCGAACGGUAAGGCCCUUCGGGGUACACGAGUGGCGAACGGGUGAGUAACACGUGGGUGAUCUGCCCUGCACUUCGGGAUAAGCCUGGGAAACUGGGUCUAAUACCGGAUAGGACCACUGCCUGCAUGGGUGGUGGUGGAAAGCUUUUGCGGUGUGGGAUGGGCCCGCGGCCGAUCAGCUUGUUGGUGGGGUGAUGGCCUACCAAGGCGACGACGGGUAGCCGGCCGGGGGGGGUGACCGGCCACACUGGGACUGGGAUACGGCCCAGACUCCUACGGGAGGCAGCAGUGGGGAAUAUUGCACAAUGGGCGCAAGCCUGAUGCAGCGACGCCGCGUGAGGGAUGACGGCCUUCGGGUUGUAAACCUCUUUCAGCACCGACGAAGCGCAAGUGACGGUAGGUGCAGAAGAAGGACCGGCCAACUACGUGCCAGCCGCCGCAGUAA